rnacentral:rRNA from 1 species
AGGACGAACGCUGGCGGCGUGCUUAACACAUGCAAGUCGAGCGGAAAGGCCCUUCGGGGUACUCGAGCGGCGAACGGGUGAGUAACACGUGAGCAACCUGCCCCUGGCUCUGGGAUAGCCUCCGGAAACGGGGAUUAAUACCGGACAUUCUCCGCCUUCCGCAUGGUUGGCGGUGGAAAGUUUUUUCGGCCGGGGAGGGGCUCGCGGCCUAUCAGCUUGUUGGCGGGGUAACGGCCCACCAAGGCGACGACGGGUAGCC